CCAAUGUGUUGUGGGAGGGACUCAGUGGGAGGUAAUUGAAUCAUGGAGGUGGCUAUCCCCAUGCUGCUGUUCUCAUGAUAGUGAGUGAGUUCUCACAAGAUCUGAUAGUUUUAUAAGAGGCUAUUUUCCCUUUGCUUGGCACUUCUCCUUCCUGCCAUCAUGUGAAGAAGGAUCUGUUUUCUCCCUUCCGGCAUGAUUGUAAGUUUCCUAAGGCCACCCCAGCCAUGCAGAACUGUGAGUCAAUUCAACCUCUUUCCUUUAUAAAUUACCCACUCUUGUGCAGUUCUUUAUGGCAGCAUGAGAAUGGACUAAUACAAGAGGUAACAACCUUUUCCUGCAUUGGCUGAUUUUUAAUUUCAGUCUGUUCAAAACAAUCAAUAUGCCAAAGUUGUAUACUUUGGAGUGACAUGUCCUGAACUCCCACAGAGAUUAUGUCAUAAGAAAGGGGCAGAAGAAGCAUCACCAACUCUAAGGAACCAAAGUCUCUCCAGCCACCAAAAUGAAUGCAGCUGCCACUUAGGGGAAGUGGACAAGGACAGAACCACCCAGAGAUGAUGGUGAGAAAAGGCAGAAGGCCUGGGAGCUGGAAAAUGACUCCAUGGAGUAAAAGAUCACAGCAUCCUUUGGGACAAGACCGAUGUUCAUGACAAGAAUGAAAACUAAUGCUGCAGCAAUGGAGAUUGUGAAAAUACAAAUUUAAAAAUGCAUACCUAAAGGAAAAUCAAGAAAAAAAGGAAAAUUAAGCAUUAAAUGGAACUCUGAGUAGUUACUAAAAGUAAGAAAAGGCAAAACAAAAUACCACCAGACUCUCUCCAUUACUACUUCCAACUACUGUUUCCCUAUUGACACAUAAUCUCUCAUCUGGAGUUCUGUUUGUGUUAUAAUAAUGAAUCCAAAACAUAAGCAGUUUAUUUCUCAAUAGCUAUAUUAACAAAGGUGUAUUUAUUAAUCAUUUGUAAUAAAAAUGAAUGUACACCAAGUGGUAGUAUUUUAGAGCUUAUUCUCAAUUAUAAAAAUAAUUAAGUUGCCUUAUAAAUGAAAUGUAGAAAAAAUAUUUUAAAAGAGUAUUU
rnacentral:lncRNA from 10 species